rnacentral:rRNA from 1 species
UACGUAGGGGGCUAGCGUUGUCCGGAUUUAUUGGGCGUAAAGAGCGUGUAGGCGGCUAGAUAGGUCCGUUGUGAAAACUCGAGGCUCAACCUCGAGACGCCGGUGGAAACCAUCUAGCUAGAGUCCGGAAGAGGAGAGUGGAAUUCCUGGUGUAGCGGUGAAAUGCGCAGAUAUCAGGAAGAACACCCGUGGCGAAGGCGGCUCUCUGGGACGUGACUGACGCUGAGACGCGAAAGCGUGGGGAGCGAACAGG